UACGAAGGGAGCUAGCGUUGUUCGGAAUCACUGGGCGUAAAGCGCACGUAGGCGGAUGUGUCAGUCAGGGGUGAAAUCCCGGAGCUCAACUUCGGAACUGCCUUUGAUACAGCACGUCUUGAGUCCGAUAGAGGUGGGUGGAAUUCCUAGUGUAGAGGUGAAAUUCGUAGAUAUUAGGAAGGACACCAGUGGCGAAGGCGGCUCACUGGCCCGGUACUGACGCUGAGGUGCGAAAGCGUGGGGAGCAAACAGG
rnacentral:rRNA from 1 species